AACGAACGCUGGCGGCAUGCCUAACACAUGCAAGUCGAACGAGACCUUCGGGUCUAGUGGCGCACGGGUGCGUAACGCGUGGGAAUCUGCCCUCUGGUUCGGAACAACAGUUGGAAACGACUGCUAAUACCGGAUAAUGACUUCGGUCCAAAGAUUUAUCGCCUGAGGAUGAGCCCGCGUCGGAUUAGCUUGUUGGUGAGGUAAAAGCUCACCAAGGCGACGAUCCGUAGCUGGUCUGAGAGGAUGAUCAGCCACACUGGGACUGAGACACGGCCCAGACUCCUACGGGAGGCAGCAGUGGGGAAUAUUGGACAAUGGGCGAAAGCCUGAUCCAGCAAUGCCGCGUGAGUGAUGACGGCCUUAGGGUUGUAAAGCUCUUUUACCCGGGAUGAUAAUGACAGUACCGGGAGAAUAAGCCCCGGCUAACUCCGUGCCAGCAGCCGCAGUAAUAC
rnacentral:rRNA from 1 species